CCGGCGGGGGAUAUCCCGCUCCCCGCUGGAGACUCAGAUUUACUUACCACAGGGGGAACUGCAGUCCGGCGGCAAAUCGCAUGAGGCAUCUAAGAUGGCCACCAAGCCAUGUCCUGAACAUGCUACAGAUGACCCAGGGCUCCAGCAUUGGAGGCAGCGCUUCGAAGCCCGGUUUGACCAACUCUGCAGGGCCUUCUGGAUGCUACUACAGCACAAACCUUCCUCUCAAACCCCGCAUGAAAAGCAGGGGCACGCACCAGAGGCUGCACGUCAGAUCCACUCCGAGCACGGGAUCCAUACAUAGGUAUGCCCGCUUCGCCGCCCAAACACCUGGAGGGCUCCCCGCAAGCCCCAGGGCUCCAAAACCCAGGUACACGCUGGGCAAGGCACGGCCACGUGGCCACCCACAAAGCGACGUUACUCAAAGCUGAAGACAACGGAGAAGCAGCGGAGGGCAGCUGGACACGGCCAAUACAAGAGCUCCCAUUACAGACCUGCCUAUGGCCCUCUGGAACAAGCAAAGGUCGCAAGGAGCGACCCAAACGACCACUCUAACAAACGGGACACUCACCAAGCACCAAUACCCCCCAGAGAAGAAAAGAGAGGUACCGCUUACCCCACUGGGAGUCCUGGGAGCUUCCCGAACCGGGGGAUUGGCUGAGCCGGAGAC